rnacentral:rRNA from 1 species
CCUACGGGAGGCAGCAGUGAGGAAUAUUGGUCAAUGGGCGGGCGCCUGAACCAGCCAAGCCGCGUGAGGGAAGAAGGUACAUCGUAUCGUAAACCUCUUUUGUCAGGGAACAAAGUCGAGGACUCGUCCCCCGCUGAGGGUACCUGACGAACAAGCAUCGGCUAACUCCGUGCCAGCAGCCGCGGUAAUCCGGAGGAUGCGAUCGUUAUCCGGAUUUAUUGGGUUUAAAGGGAGCGUAGGUGGAUUGUUAAGUCAGGUGUGAAAGUUUGCGGAUCAACCGUAAAAUUGCAGAUGAAACUGGCAGACAGGAGUACAGUAGAGGGGAGCGGAAUUCGUGGUGUAGCGGUGAAAGGCGUAGAUAGCACGAAGAACUCC